rnacentral:rRNA from 1 species
CCUACGGGGGGCAGCAGUGAGGAAUAUUGGUCAAUGGGCGCGAGCCUGAACCAGCCAAGUCGCGUGAAGGAUGAAUGCCCUACGGGUUGUAAACUUCUUUUAUAAGGGAAUAAAGUGAGGCACGUGUGCCUUUUUGUAUGUACUUUAUGAUUAAGGAUCGGCUAACUCCGUGCCAGCAGCCGCGGUAAUACGGAGGAUCCGAGCGUUAUCCGGAUUUAUUGGGUUUAAAGGGAGCGUAGAUGGUUUUUUAAGUCAGUUGUGAAAGUUUGCGGCUCAACCGUAGAAGUGCAAUUGAGACUGGCAGGCUUGAGUAUAGUUGAGGCAGGCGGAAUGCGUGGUGUAGCGGUGAAAUGCUUAGAUAUCACGAAGAACUCCGAUUGCGAAGGCAGCUUACUAAAC